UUUAAAGAUUUUAUUUUUUCCUUUUUCUCCCCAAAGCCCCCCAGUACAUAGUUGUAUAUUCCUCGUUGUGGGUCCUUCUAGUUGUGGUAUGUGGGACGCUGCCUCAGCGUGGUUCGACGAGCAGUGUCACGUCCGCGCCCAGGAUUCGAACCAACGAAACACUGGGCUGCCUGCAGCGGAGCGCGCGAACUUAACCACUCGGCCACGGGGCCAGCCCCGACUCAAAGUAUAUUUUUAAAAAGGACAGUUACAAGGAGAAAAUCACAAAUCCAGAUUCACAGUCAAUAUUGUCUAGAAUUUCAACUCUGAGUUACAUUACAGACAUCCAGGCUUGGGCCUUAAGACAAUGAGCAUGCCUCCUCCAUGCUUCGUUUCCCCUUGAUACCAAUUGGAAACUAUGGAAUCCCAGCUAAGACCAAAUAAUGAUAGUGCCCUACGAGAUGGCAGAGCAACAGGAUGAAAGGAAAUAAGAUAUCGUCUGUGGGAGAUAAUGUCUCCCAUUACACCUUGGUCUCAAAACACCAUCCUACCUGAGAUGAUGGUACUGACUCUCAUAAUAUUGGCCAAGCAUUGUUCUAAGUGGAAUACAGACAAUAUUUCGAUUAAUCCUCACAGCAAGCAUAUAGGAUAAAGACUAUGUUAUCCUCUUUAACACGUAAGAAAACUGAAGCUUAAUAAAGUGAUUUGUCC
rnacentral:lncRNA from 1 species